rnacentral:lncRNA from 1 species
CCUUCCAAAUGAGCCCUUUCACAGCUGCCAGCUGUGCCACGGAAUCGUGAAUGUAAAUGAGUGGGCCAGAUCCUCUGCUGGCAUCCAUGGAGGCAGCUUUGAUGGACCGUCCUGGAUCCACAACAGCUGGAGGAGUCUGGCUGUAGCAGGAGCCCGACUUGCUCUGCAGAUUUCUUUGAGAGCCUGUGGGAAAGGGCCUGAAGCUGGGCGAGCUGCAGGAUAGGGCAGCAUCAACUGCACAUCUGGAGGGACCCUCGAGUCUCUGACUUUUGCUGCCAGACAAAGCCUUCUUUACUGGAGCAAUCAGCCCCACCUGAUGCCAGGCAGGGUGUAAAGCAGGAUGUCGGAAGCUGGAGCCUCCUUAUCGAUAGCCUUGCUGAACUUGUAACCUGUUCCCUGGUACCAUAUGCCAGCACGUAUCAUCUUGCCCUCAUAAAGCUUUGUUUAUCUCCAUCCACCUUGUUGGGCUGAGCGUGUGGGAAGCAUGUGAGGGACUCUCAUGAGCAGCCUCGCGUUCUCCGAGCUGUUUUUCCCCUGGGGGUGAGCUUUCCCCAAAGUGCACAGUCCAUUUCACUCAGAGGUGAUGGCCUGAAACCUGCAGAGCUGGUGGUGAGAGGGGAACAAGCUUUCUUUGUGAGGCUGCUCCAGCUUGCUGGGUGUGCUGGGUGCACUGAAUGAAAUCUUUCAUUUGGUUCCUCAGAGAGUACAGGAAGAUCCUCAGCUUUUGUCCUGAAUGGGAUUGUAGCCCAGACCAGGGAAAGGUCACAAAUACCAUGCCCUGGUAGUGCUGAGGUUAUUGGAUUGAACCUUGCUUUGUUAGUGUAACCAUGUUGUGGACUUGGACUUUCAGCCAAGGAAAGAGGGUGCUGAAAAG